rnacentral:rRNA from 1 species
AUUGAACGCUGGCGGCAGGCCUAACACAUGCAAGUCGAGCGGAUGAAGGGAGCUUGCUCCUGGAUUCAGCGGCGGACGGGUGAGUAAUGCCUAGGAAUCUGCCUGGUAGUGGGGGAUAACGUCCGGAAACGGGCGCUAAUACCGCAUACGUCCUGAUGGAGAAAGUGGGGGAUCUUCGGACCGCACGCUAUCAGAUGAGCCUAGGUCGGAUUAGCUAGUUGGUGGGGUAAAGGCCUACCAAGGCGACGAUCCGUAACUGGUCUGAGAGGAUGAUCAGUCACACUGGAACUGAGACACGGUCCAGACACCUACGGGAGGCAGCAGUGGGGAAUAUUGGACAAUGGGCGAAAUCCUGAUCCAGCCAGGCCGCGUGUGUGAAGAAGGUCUUCGGAUUGUAAAGCACUUUAAGUUGGGAGGAAGGGCAGUAAGUUAAUACCUUGCUGUUUUGACGUUACCAACAGAAUAAGCACCGGCUAACUUCGUG